CCUACGGGAGGCAGCAGUGGGGAAUAUUGCACAAUGGGGGAAACCCUGAUGCAGCGACGCCGCGUGAGUGAAGAAGUAUUUCGGUAUGUAAAGUUCUAUCAGCAGGGACGAAAUAGAGACCUUUGCGUCGCCAGACGGUACCUGAUUAAGAAGCCCCGGCUAACUACGUGCUAGCUGCCGCGGUAAUGCGUAGGGGGCAAGCGUUAUCCGGAUUUACUGGGUGUAAAGGGAGCGUAGACGGCAGCGCAAGUCUGGAGUGAAAUGCCGGGGCCCAACCCCGGAACUGCACUGGAAACUGUGAAGCUGGAGUGCAGGAGAGGAAAGCGGAAUUCCUGGUGUAGCGGUGAAAUGCGUAGAUAUCAGGAGGAACACCGGCGGCGAAGGCGGCUUACUGGACUGUAACUGACGUUGAGGCUCGAAGGCGUGGGGAGCGAACAGGAUUAGAUACCCCUGUAGUC
rnacentral:rRNA from 1 species